GGGGACGACAGGCUUCGACGUGGUCGGCUCGUGGGGGUGGUGGCGAGUCGAGGUCCCGGGCGGCCUCGUAAAACACCCGGGAAAACAAUAAGUGCGGACUCUCACGAGUACGCCCUCGCCGCUUAGUCAAUAGCUAAGCCGUGAGGUCUCGGGCCCCGCUCGCCUGCGGCGGGGAAGGCCGGGAUCAGAAAGCAGGCUCACCCGGUGCGGUCCGCCUCCGCCAAGCCGGGGAAGCUCAAGGAGGCUGGUCCCCUGCAACCCCGCCGGCGAGGCGAGCAGGGGACGAGAUCAGAGCGCCGGAUACGCUCGUAGAUGCCACUCUCACGCGAUCACGGACGUGGGUUCGAUUCCCACCGUCUCCAUAA
rnacentral:tmRNA from 1 species